rnacentral:rRNA from 1 species
CUCAGUUCGGAUCGGAGUCUGNAACCCGACUCCGUGAAGCUGGAUUCGCUAGUAAUCGCGCAUCAGCCAUGGCGCGGUGAAUACGUUCCCGGGCCUUGUACACACCGCCCGUCAAGCCAUGGAAGCCGGGGGCGCUUGAAGUGCGUUGCCGCAAGGCGCGCCCUAGAGCGAAACCGGUGACUGGGGCUAAGUCGUAACAAGGUAAC